ACCGUAGCUUAGUGGUAGAGCAUUUGCUCUGCGUACAAAAAAUCCCAUGUUUAAUCCCUGGUAUCUCCA